UCCCUGGAGGACUAGUGGUUAGGCCAUGGUGCUCUUACCGAUGCGGCCCGGGUUCGAUUCCCCGACAGAGAA